GUGACCAAAAGGGGUGAGAGGAAUGGAGUACUGGGAUGGAGGAGUGACUGAGAGGAGUGGGGUGGUGGUGGAAGCAACUGGAUGGAGGAGAAGGAGCAGGAGUGUGGCUCAGGUGAUGGUGGAGAAAUCUCUGAGAUAUUGAAGAAACACCUCAUCCCACUGACCAGUAAAGGAGAAUUAGCAUAUUAAAAGGAUGACCUUUCUCCUUUUGAGCGACUACUAGACAUAAUACUAUUGCAGACUACUUUCACUUUCAUUUUCAUUCUCGUGAGGCAUGAAAGCUCCAGCUACACAUGAUGACCCCCCCCCUCCGCAUUUGACUCUUCAAACUAAUCACUUCUCUCCACUUGCAAUAGUAAAAAAAUAAAAAAAUAAAAAGCAGAAAAGCAUAGCAGGCUUGUCUGCUUUGAAUUUGUAAGGCUGCUUUCAUCGCAAUGAUAUCUGCAUAAUUUUGGACCAAGAAUAUGCUACUUACAAAGUCACAAUGCUGCUUGUUGACUUAGUUUGCAUCUUCGUUGUUUGCAUAAAUUAUCCUUCUUAAUUUACAAAGAGUCAAAGAUAAAAAGCCAGAGCCUCUACCAUUUGUUUUACAUAAUACCAUGUACACUCAUAAUUGUGUAGCUUUUUAAAUAGAAUGUGAACAUGUCUAAAUACAACAGAAAUUAGAUAACACAGUUGCUUGGAUUUAGUGUGAUAAUAACUGUUGCCGUGCCCAUUAUCUACACAACUGUUUUUAGAUUAAAGACUCCCUGAAGAUAUAUAAUAUGAUAAGUUGCAAUCACUCCUCACAAAUGCAAACUCUGGAGAUGUGUUGGUAGUGUCUAAACAACUGGUUUAAAGUCUAUGUAUGCUCAAUGCAAUUCCAGUCUGUGUAAGCAGAAAUCAAAUGCCAUUCAUGCCUUAGUCUGACAGUGCCCAAGACCCAUCACCAAUACAGGUGGGCCUCAUUAUUCAAAGGGGUUCCGUUCUCACCUAUAGGCAUGGAUACAGAAACUAUGAAUUACAAAACCUU